rnacentral:rRNA from 1 species
GACGAGCGGCGGACGGGUGAGUAAUGUCUGGGAAACUGCCUGAUGGAGGGGGAUAACUACUGGAAACGGUAGCUAAUACCGCAUAACGUCGCAAGACCAAAGUGGGGGACCUUCGGGCCUCAUGCCAUCAGAUGUGCCCAGAUGGGAUUAGCUAGUAGGUGGGGUAACGGCUCACCUAGGCGACGAUCCCUAGCUGGUCUGAGAGGAUGACCAGCCACACUGGAACUGAGACACGGUCCAGACUCCUACGGGAGGCAGCAGUGGGGAAUAUUGCACAAUGGGCGCAAGCCUGAUGCAGCCAUGCCGCGUGUGUGAAGAAGGCCUUCGGGUUGUAAAGCACUUUCAGCGGGGAGGAAGGCGGUGAGGUUAAUAACCUCAUCGAUUGACGUUACCCGCAGAAGAAGCACCGGCUAACUCCGUGCCAGCAGCCGCGGUAAUACGGAGGGUGCAAGCGUUAAUCGGAAUUACUGGGCGUAAAGCGCACGCAGGCGGUCUGUCAAGUCGGAUGUGAAAUCCCCGGGCUCAACCUGGGAACUGCAUUCGAAACUGGCAGGCUAGAGUCUUGUAGAGGGGGGUAGAAUUCCAGGUGUAGCGGUGAAAUGCGUAGAGAUCUGGAGGAAUACCGGUGGCGAAGGCGGCCCCCUGGACAAAGACUGACGCUCAGGUGCGAAAGCGUGGGGAGCAAACAGGAUUAGAUACCCUGGUAGUCCACGCUGUAAACGAUGUCGAUUUGGAGGUUGUGCCCUUGAGGCGUGGCUUCCGGAGCUAACGCGUUAAAUCGACCGCCUGGGGAGUACGGCCGCAAGGUUAAAACUCAAAUGAAUUGACGGGGGCCCGCACAAGCGGUGGAGCAUGUGGUUUAAUUCGAUGCAACGCGAAGAACCUUACCUGGUCUUGACAUCCACAGAACUUUCCAGAGAUGGAUUGGUGCCUUCGGGAACUGUGAGACAGGUGCUGCAUGGCUGUCGUCAGCUCGUGUUGUGAAAUGUUGGGUUAAGUCCCGCAACGAGCGCAACCCUUAUCCUUUGUUGCCAGCGGUCCGGCCGGGAACUCAAAGGAGACUGCCAGUGAUAAACUGGAGGAAGGUGGGGAUGACGUCAAGUCAUCAUGGCCCUUACGACCAGGGCUACACACGUGCUACAAUGGCAUAUACAAAGAGAAGCGACCUCGCGAGAGCAAGCGGACCUCAUAAAGUAUGUCGUAGUCCGGAUUGGAGUCUGCAACUCGACUCCAUGAAGUCGGAAUCGCUAGUAAUCGUAGAUCAGAAUGCUACGGUGAAUACGUUCCCGGGCCUUGUACACACCGCCCGUCACACCAUGGGAGUGGGU